UUACUGAGUUACCGCUCUAUAACCCUUUGUGAACGUACCUAACCGUUGCUUCGGCGGGCAGGGGAAGCCUCUCGCGGGCCUCCCCUCCCGGCGCCGGCCCCCACCACGGGGACGGGGCGCCCGCCGGAGGAAACCAAACUCUAUUUACACGACGUCUCUUCUGAGUGGCACAAGCAAAUAAUUAAAACUUUUAACAACGGAUCUCUUGGUUCUGGCAUCGAUGAAGAACGCAGCGAAAUGCGAUAAGUAAUGUGAAUUGCAGAAUUCAGUGAAUCAUCGAAUCUUUGAACGCACAUUGCGCUCGCCAGCAUUCUGGCGAGCAUGCCUGUUCGAGCGUCAUUUCAACCCUCAAGCACCGCUUGGUUUUGGGGCCCCACGGCCGACGUGGGCCCUUAAAGGUAGUGGCGGACCCUCCCGGAGCCUCCUUUGCGUAGUAACUAACGUCUCGCACUGGGAUCCGGAGGGACUCUUGCCGUUAAACCCCCAAAUUC
rnacentral:rRNA from 1 species